rnacentral:rRNA from 1 species
UGGCCAUUACUGACGUGAGGAGGAAAGCAUGGGAGCGAACAGGAUUAGAUACCCUGGUAGUCCAUGCCGUAAACUUGGCGUAGGUGUGGGUCCAUUCCACGGAUUCCGUGCCGCAGUAACGCAUUAAGCGCCCCGCUGGGGAGUACGGCCGCAAGGUAAAACUCAAAGGAAUUGACGGGGGCCCGCACAAGCGGCGGAGCAUGCGGAUUAAUUCGAUGCAACGCGAAGAACCUUACCAAGGCUUGACAUGCGCGGUGGAAUCCCAGAGAUGGGGUGUCAUUUAGUUGGUCGCGUACAGGUGGUGCAUGGUUGUCGUCAGCUCGUGUCGUGAGAUGUUGGGUUAAGUCCCGCAACGAGCGCAACCCUCGUUCCAUGUUGCCAGCACUUCGGGUGGGGACUCAUGGGAGACUGCCGGGGUCAACUCGGAGGAAGGUGGGGAUGACGUCAAAUCAUCAUGCCCCUUAUGUCUUGGGCUUCACGCAUGCUACAAUGGCCAGUACAGAGGGCUGCGAUACCGUGAGGUGGAGCGAAUCCCAAAAAGCUGGUCUCAGUUCGGAUCGGGGUCUGCAACUCGACCCCGUGAAGUCGGAGUCGCUAGUAAUCGCAGAUCAGCAACGCUGCGGUGAAUACGUUCCCGGGCCUUGUACACACCGCCCGUCACGUCAUGAAAGUCGGUAACACCCGAAGCCGGUGGCCCAAC